GCCCCGGUGCGGCGGCGGUGGGCGAGGCGAGGCGAGGCGAGGCGGCGCCGGGAGCCUCCACCCCCGGGCCGCCCUGCCCGCGGCUCCUCAUGUGACGCGGGUAAGUCGGCGGCCAGCGCCGCGCUUCCCCCCGCUGCUGCCGCCCCCAUUCAUUUCCCCGCAGCGGCGGCCGGCCGCCGGGGAGAGCCUCUGCCCCGGCCCCCGGGAGAGAAGGGGGGACGGGCGGACGGAGCCUGGCGGACAGACGGACAGACAGAGCCGGGGGGAACCCCGAGUCGGGGGAAGGAGGCGGCUGCUCUGCGGCUCCCGCUCAGGCUCUUUUAAAAAUGACAUGCCUUUCCUAGUCUGCCUGGCUCCGCUAAAAAUAAGUCUUAAAGUCUUAAAAAUCAGAGCUGUUGAUCAGGAGACUAAAGGAACCCAAGGCUUCUUUAAAUGA
rnacentral:lncRNA from 1 species